rnacentral:rRNA from 1 species
GACGGAGGGUGCUAGCGUUGUUCGGAAUCACUGGGCGUAAAGGGCGCGUAGGCGGCCCCUCGCGUCGGACGUGAAAGCCCGGGGCUCACCCCCGGAAGUGCAUUGGAAACUGGUGGACUCGAGUCCCGGAGAGGAGAGUGGAAUUCCUGGUGUAGCGGUGAAAUGCGUAGAUAUCAGGAGGAACACCGGUGGCGAAGGCGGCUCUCUGGACGGUGACUGACGCUGAGACGCGAAAGCGUGGGGAGCAAACAGG